rnacentral:rRNA from 1 species
GACGAACGCUGGCGGCGUGCUUAACACAUGCAAGUCGAGCGGUAAGGCCCUUUCGGGGGUACACGAGCGGCGAACGGGUGAGUAACACGUGGGUGACCUGCCCUUAGCUCUGGGAUAAGCCUGGGAAACUGGGUCUAAUACCGGAUAUGACUCCAUGACGCAUGUUGUGGGGUGGAAAGCCUUGUGCGGCUAGGGAUGGGCCUGCGGCCUACCAGCUUGUUGGUGGGGUGAUGGCCACCAAGGCGACGACGGGUAGCCGGCCUGAGAGGGCGACCGGCCACACUGGGACUGAGACACGGCCCAGACUCCUACGGGAGGCAGCAGUGGGGAAUCUUGCGCAAUGGGCGAAAGCCUGACGCAGCGACGCCGCGUGGGGAUGACGGCC